rnacentral:rRNA from 1 species
CACGAACGCUGGCGGCAGGCUUAACACAUGCAAGUCGAGCGCCCCGCAAGGGGAGCGGCAGACGGGUGAGUAACGCGUGGGAAUCUACCCAUCUCUACGGAAUAACGCAUGGAGACGUGUGCUAAUACCGUAUACGUCCUUCGGGAGAAAGAUUUAUCGGAGAUGGAUGAGCCCGCGUUGGAUUAGCUAGUUGGUGGGGUAAAGGCCUACCAAGGCGACGAUCCAUAGCUGGUCUGAGAGGAUGAUCAGCCACCCUGGGACUGAGACCCGGCCCAGACUCCUGCGGGAGGCAGCAGUGGGGAAUAUUGGACAAUGGGCACAAGCCUGAUCCAGCCAUGCCGCGUGAGUGAUGAAGGCCCUAGGGUUGUAAAGCUCUUUCACCGGUGAAGAUAAUGACGGUAACCGGAGAAGAAGCCCCGGCUAACUUCGUGCCAGCCGCCGCCGUAACAC